AGUCUCGUGGGGGGUAACUCCUAGAGGAAAGUGGCGAAAGGGGCAGUAAUGUAUGGGUAACCUACCUUGAGGUCUGGGAUAGCCAUUCUAACGGAUGGGUAAUACUGGACGGCCUGAGUUGUCGGCAUCGAUGAUUUAGUAAAGGUUACGCCUCGAGAGGGGCCCAUAUGAUAUUAGCUAGUUGGUGAGGUAAUGGCUCACCAAGGCAAAGAUGUCUAGCGGGUGUGAGAGCACGACCCGCGUCAUUGGCACUGAGACACUGGCCAAACUCC
rnacentral:rRNA from 2 species